AAGAACCAACAGGGAUUGCCUUAGUAACGGCGAGUGAAGCGGCAGCAGCUCAAAUUUGAAAUCUGGCUCCUUUGGGGCCCGAGUUGUAAUUUGUAGAGGAUGUUUCGGCGUGGUCCCAGGUCUAAGUUCCUUGGAACAGGACGUCACAGAGGGUGAGAAUCCCGUACGUGGCCGUGGGUACCCGCCAUGUGAAGCUCCUUCGACGAGUCGAGUUGUUUGGGAAUGCAGCUCUAAAUGGGAGGUAAAUUUCUUCUAAAGCUAAAUACUGGCCAGAGACCGAUAGCGCACAAGUAGAGUGAUCGAAAGAUGAAAAGCACUUUGGAAAGAGAGUCAAAAAGUACGUGAAAUUGUUGAAAGGGAAGCGCUUGCAACCAGACCUGCCUGCGGUUGCUCAUCCGGGCUCUUGCCCGGUGCACUCUUCUGCAGUCAGGCCAGCAUCAGUUCUGGCGGUCGGAUAAAGGCGGCGGGAAUGUGGCUCCCCUCGGGGAGUGUUAUAGCCCGUCGUGUAAUGCGGCCAGCCGGGACUGAGGUCCGCGCUUCGGCUAGGAUGCUGGCGUAAUGGUUGUAAGCGGCCCGUCUUGAAACACGGACCAAGGAGUCUAACAUCUGUGCGAGUGUUUGGGUGUCAAGCCCAGGCGCGUAAUGAAAGUGAACGGAGGCGGGAACCUUCGGGUGCACCGUCGACCGAUCCUGAUGUCUUCGGAUGGAUUUGAGUAAGAGCAUAGCUGUUGGGACCCGAAAGAUGGUGAACUAUGCCUGAAUAGGGUGAAGCCAGAGGAAACUCUGGUGGAGGCUCGCAGCGGUUCUGACGUGCAAAUCGAUCGUCAAAUUUGGGCAUAGGGGCGAAAGACUAAUCGAACUAUCUAGUAGCUGGUUCCUGCCGAGUCCUCCUCUCACCGAAAAUAAACAAUAACGCCG
rnacentral:rRNA from 1 species